rnacentral:rRNA from 1 species
UUGGCUCAGGAUGAACGCUGGCGGCGUGCCUAACACAUGCAAGUCGAACGGAGUUACGAGAGCUUGCUUUUGUAACUUAGUGGCGGACGGGUGAGUAAUGUAUGAGCAACCUGCCUUUCAGAGGGGGACAACAGUUGGAAACGACUGCUAAUACCGCAUAAUGUAUUUGGGUGGCAUCACUUGGAUACCAAAGGAGCAAUCCGCUGAAAGAUGGGCUCAUAUCUGAUUAGUUAGUUGGCAGGGUAACGGCCUACCAAGACUGCGAUCAGUAGCCGGACUGAGAGGUUGAACGGCCACAUUGGGACUGAGAUACGGCCCAGACUCCUACGGGAGGCAGCAGUGGGGAAUA